UUACACAGGUGUAUCAUGAAACUUGGAUGUAUGGACUACCAUGGGCUAGCAGUGAAUAUGUACAUAACCUCAAGAAGUUUCUUAAAGUUGUUGAGGAUCGUCGGGUGCAUAGAGGAGAAUGUUACAUUUGGUGUCCUUGUAAAAUGUACCAAAAUUGUAAAAAGGUCUAUGAUUUGGAUGUAAUAGAAGAAUAUAUGAUAUUUGAAGGAUUUAUGAAUCGAUAUACGUGUUGAUCACAACAUGGCGAGUUAUUGAUUGAUCACAACACAAUUGAUGUCGAAUCUAAUUAUGAUGAUACAGAUGAUUCAGAGGAUGACAUCCAUGAUAACCUACCUCCAUUUUCUAUCGGUAUUCCAUCUAUGAAUGUUGAUAUUAAUGACGCUGCUUACUUAAGAUCGGACCAUAACGAAGGAUCAUAUGUUGAAGAAAGCAACACAGACGACACGACACUGGAGGACAAUAACAAUGAUAAUUGCAGUUGAGGUUCUUCAUGGGGAGAUUUACUAUGAUUGCAUUAUGAAAAACUUGUGUAGUAUCAACAUGAUGCGAGGAUAAAAACUAUGUUGAGUUUUUGAUGUUUAUGUCACAUGUAAUAUGUUCUAUAUUAUACAAAGUCAUUUUUUAGUGAUGAACAUUAAUCUUUGUUCAUCACUAAAUGCUCAA